UAAUACGAAGGGGGCUAGCGUUGCUCGGAAUUACUGGGCGUAAAGGGCGCGUAGGCGGAUAUUUAAGUCGGGGGUGAAAGCCCGGGGCUCAACCUCGGAAUUGCCUUCGAUACUGGAUAUCUUGAGUUCGGGAGAGGUGAGUGGAAUGCCGAGUGUAGAGGUGAAAUUCGUAGAUAUUCGGCGGAACACCAGUGGCGAAGGCGACUCACUGGCCCGAUACUGACGCUGAGGCGCGAAAGCGUGGGGAGCAAACAGGAUUAGAUACCCUGGUAGUCCACGCUGUAAACGAUGAGUGCUAGUUGUCGGCAUGCAUGCAUGUCGGUGACGCAGCUAACGCAUUAAGCACUCCGCCUGGGGAGUACGGUCGCAAGAUUA
rnacentral:rRNA from 1 species